rnacentral:misc_RNA from 1 species
AAAGUCGUAACAAGGUUUCCGUAGGUGAACCUGCGGAAGGAUCAUUAAAGAGUGAGGGUCUUCUCAGGCCCGACCUCCCAACCCUUUGUUUAUCAAACCUUUUGUUGCUUCGGCGGGCCCGUCUCACGACCGCCGGAGGAUGUACCCCAUCCUCUGGCCCGCGCCCGCCGAUGGCCAACCAUUUAAAUUUCUUGAAUGAAUCGUGUCUUGUCCCUAAGUAAUGAUUAAAUCAAAAACAAAACUUUCAACAACGGAUCUCUUGGUUCUG